rnacentral:rRNA from 1 species
UACGGGGGGGGGUAAGCGUUGUUCGGAAUUACUGGGCGUAAAGGGUUCGUAGGUGGCCCGCUAAGUCAGACGUGAAAUCCCUCAGCUCAACUGGGGAACUGCGUCUGAGACUGGUGGGCUUGAGUGCAGGAGAGGAACGCGGAAUUCCAGGUGUAGCGGUGAAAAUGCGUAGAUAUCUGGAGGAACACCGGUGGCGAAGGCGGCGUUCUGGACUGUUACUGACACUGAGGAACGAAAGCCAGGGGAGCAAACGGG